AUGGCCACGGCGGCGCGCCCUCCGUUCCUCGCCGUGGUGCUGCUGGUGGCGACGGUGAUGCUGAGCUGUGGCGGCAAUGUAGAGGUGGCGGAGGCGCAGACGCCGGUGUUCGCGUGCGACGCGUCGAACGCGACGCUGGCGUCCUACGGGUUCUGCAACCGGAAGGCGUCGGCGUCGGCGCGGGCCAAGGACCUGGUGUCGCGGCUGACGCUGGCGGAGAAGGUGGGGUUCCUGGUGAACAAGCAGCCGGCGCUGGGGCGGCUGGGCAUCCCGGCGUACGAGUGGUGGUCCGAGGCGCUGCACGGCGUCUCCUACGUGGGGCCCGGCACCCGGUUCUCGCCGCUGGUGCCCGGCGCCACCAGCUUCCCGCAGCCCAUCCUCACCGCCGCCUCCUUCAACGCCUCCCUCUUCCGCGCCAUCGGCGAGGUGGUGUCGACGGAGGCGCGGGCGAUGCACAACGUGGGGCUGGCGGGGCUCACCUUCUGGAGCCCCAACAUCAACAUCUUCCGGGACCCGCGGUGGGGCCGCGGCCAGGAGACGCCCGGCGAGGACCCGCUGCUGGCCAGCAAGUACGCCGUGGGAUACGUCACGGGGCUCCAGGACGCCGGCGCGGCGGGCGUCGUCGACGGCGCGCUCAAGGUCGCCGCCUGCUGCAAGCACUACACCGCCUACGACGUCGACAACUGGAAGGGCGUCGAGCGCUACACCUUCGACGCAAAGGUGUCGCAGCAGGAUCUGGACGACACGUUCCAGCCGCCGUUCAAGAGCUGCGUGCUGGACGGCAAUGUGGCCAGUGUCAUGUGCUCCUACAACAAGGUGAACGGGAAGCCCACCUGCGCCGACAAGGACCUCCUCUCCGGAGUCAUCAGAGGAGACUGGAAGCUCAACGGAUACAUCGUGUCCGACUGCGACUCCGUCGACGUGCUCUACACCCAGCAGCACUACACCAAGACGCCCGAGGAGGCCGCCGCCAUCACCAUCAAAUCAGGGCUGGACCUCAACUGCGGCAACUUCCUGGCGGAGCACACGGUGGCGGCGGUGCAGGCCGGCGAGCUGUCGGAGGAGGACGUCGACAGGGCCAUCACCAACAACUUCAUCAUGCUCAUGCGCCUGGGCUUCUUCGACGGCGACCCCCGGGAGCUCGCCUUCGGCAGCCUCGGCCCCAAGGACGUGUGCACGUCUUCCAACCAGGAGCUGGCACGCGAGACGGCGCGCCAGGGCAUCGUGCUGCUCAAGAACAACGGCGCGCUGCCGCUCUCGGCGAAGUCCAUCAAGUCCAUGGCCGUCAUUGGGCCCAAUGCCAAUGCCAGCUUCACCAUGAUCGGCAACUACGAAGGCACGCCGUGCAAGUACACGACGCCGCUCCAGGGCCUGGGCGCCAACGUCAACACCGUGUACCAGCCGGGGUGCACCAACGUCGGGUGCAGCGGGAACAGCCUCCAGCUCAGCACCGCGGUGGCGGCCGCGGCCAGUGCCGACGUGACCGUGCUCGUCGUCGGCGCCGACCAGUCCAUUGAGCGCGAGAGCCUGGACAGGACGAGCCUCCUCUUGCCUGGCCAGCAGACGCAGCUCGUGUCGGCCGUCGCCAACGCCUCCAGGGGCCCUGUCAUCCUCGUCGUCAUGUCCGGCGGGCCGUUCGACAUCUCGUUCGCUAAGGCCAGCGACAAGAUCUCGGCCAUUCUUUGGGUCGGCUACCCCGGCGAAGCCGGCGGCGCCGCCCUCGCCGACAUCCUCUUCGGCAGCCACAACCCAAGCGGGAGGCUGCCGGUGACGUGGUACCCGGCGUCGUACGCCGACACGGUCAAAAUGACCGACAUGCGGAUGCGGCCGGACACGUCGACGGGCUACCCGGGCCGGACGUACCGGUUCUACACGGGCGACACGGUGUUCGCCUUCGGGGACGGGCUGAGCUACACCAAGAUGUCCCACCAGCUCGUGUCCGCGCCGCCGUCGUACGUGUCCAUGCAGCUGGCCGAGGACCACCCGUGCCGCGCCGAGGAGUGCGCGUCCGUGGAGGCCGCGGGCGACCACUGCGAGGACCUGGCCUUCGACGUGAAGCUCCGGGUGCGGAACGCCGGCGAGGUGGCCGGCGCGCACUCGGUGCUGCUGUUCUCGUCGCCGCCGUCGGUGCACAACGCGCCGGCGAAGCACCUGCUCGGGUUCGAGAAGGUGUCGCUGGCGCCCGGGGAGGCCGGCACGGUGGCGUUCAGGGUGGACGUGUGCAGGGACCUGAGCGUGGCGGACGAGCUGGGCGGCCGCAAGGUGGCGCUCGGCGGCCACACGCUGCACGUCGGCGACCUCAAGCACACCGUGGAACUACGGGUCUGA
rnacentral:rRNA from 1 species